CCAACUCCCAUUCCAAUAAUACUAAUGCCCAGACCACUGUCACCUUUUUCAAUUUCCACAGGAAAUACUUCCAUUUUUUCCACCCUUUUCUCAAGUUCAUAUUCAGCUGAGGCUGCCACAGGGUCAACUUCUUCGUUACGUCUAUCAUAAUCUUCAUUGGAGUAAGUACUGAAAACCUUGAUAGGAGCUGUUGAGAACUUCACUUUUCGGUCUGGCUCAGGAUCUUCCUCUUCAGAAAGUCCAGGAAACUCCUCGUACUCACUGUCAUACAUAUAUUCCUCCUCUUCCUCCAAAAUUUCGUUGUCUUCAGGGUCUUGGUUCUCUGUAUCCCUAUAAUCAUCAAAAGCUGCAUUUUCUAUUCCGAAAGCACAGAAGCCAUCCCUCUGUUUUUCUACUACUUGCUCCUCUUCUUCAGUAUCCCCCUCUUGCUGUAGAACAUCCUGAACUGGAACAUCUUUCACAGUCAUCCCAUCUCUCACUUCUUCCUGAUUGGUUCCCUUUCUUUCUGUAAACUCUUCUACUACCUCCAAGGAAUAGCUGCUCCCUUUCCCUUCUUGUAUUUGAUAUUUGAGUGGUUGAUCCUCAUUAACAACAUGACCUUUCUCCAAACCCUCUUUUCCAUGCCCUGAGGUUUCAUCUUGCACAGACAGCUCCACACAAGUCUCCUCAACAGGGGAAACCUGGGAAAGAGCAGUCUCUGUUCUCCACUUUGCCUCCUGACUGGAUAUACUGCUCAUAUCCUGUAGGCUUCUCCCCAGUACCGCUUUCUCUCUCUUGUCUUUUUCAAAUACUUCACUCAGCUCAUCUCUGUCAAUCACAGGCACUUCAGCGGAUGCAAUCUUCUCUGGACUUCUUUGAACAGUAGUAGAUGAAUCCAAACUGCAGUGGCCUCUCAAAGGGCCCUGAUCCAGGCCAUCAUUUUUGGAAAUUUCUUUGGAAUCUUCAGUAUCACUGUCACCCAGAAAGCUUUCCAGCCUCCUAGAAAUGGGCCCAGCAUUCAAGAAGGAGGUUUUGGAGCCAUUACUGGGAUGCUGCUGCUUCAGCUCACUACCUUGAUUUUCAACUUUAUCCAGUGCAAGUGAAGGACUCACAUCUGUAUUAAAAUUGAAGUGGUCUACAACACUACUACAAUCGGAAGCCGAACCGUGUCUCCUCUUAUCUUCACUUCUUUCACAUUUGCUGGGAGAAUAUCUGUCCACAGAGCUUCGCUGUUUU
rnacentral:lncRNA from 1 species